CAUUCAACAAUAUUGGAAUCUACCCUUCGUAAGAGGAAUAGAGGCCCUCUACGCUGACCCCAGAGCACAGACAAUGGUGCCAGGGGGGCGUCACCAACCCCCUUCCGACCCAAGAACGGUACCAGACAGGGAUGCCCCUUGUCCCCCCUGCUGUUCAUUAUAGCACUAGAGCCCCUGCUACACUGAAUAAGUGAGGCCAAGGGCAUAGAGAAAAUCUGGGCCGGGGAGGAGAAGUAUAAAGUCUCCGCAUACGCGGAUGAUAUUAUGAUCACGAUGUCCAGCCCUCAUCACUCGCUCCCUCGACUCCUAUCACUAUUAGAGGAAUACGCAUAUGUUUCGGGCUACAAAAUUAAUAUGGGAAAAUCGGUGGCUCUGCCACUCGGAAUGGACCCAAGGGAGAUUGAAAGCCUAUGCACCGCACACACAUUAACAAUCGCGAAAACCAACAUUAAAUACUUGGGCGUUAGGCUCACUGCAGAUCCGGACAAAUUAUACUCCGAGAAUUACACACCUAGGAUACAAUCACUGUGCCGAGAUAUAGAAAAAUGGCAGGAAAAACCAAUUUCCUGGAUAGGCAGACUCCACGCCAUAAAGAUGAC